rnacentral:rRNA from 1 species
UCCUACGGGAGGCAGCAGUGGGGAAUAUUGCACAAUGGGCGCAAGCCUGAUGCAGCCAUGCCGCGUGUAUGAAGAAGGCCUUCGGGUUGUAAAGUACUUUCAGCGGGGAGGAAGGUGUUGUGGUUAAUAACCACAGCAAUUGACGUUACCCGCAGAAGAAGCACCGGCUAACUCCGUGCCAGCAGCCGCGGUAAUA